GCCGGGGUGGCGGAAUUGGUAGACGCAAGGGACUUAAAAUCCCUCGGAGGCUUGCCCCCGUGCCGGUUCGAGUCCGGCCCUCGGCA
rnacentral:tRNA from 1 species